UACAGAGGUCUCAAGCGUUGUUCGGAUUCAUUGGGCGUAAAGGGUGCGUAGGCGGCGUGGUAAGUCGGGGGUGAAAUCUCGGGGCUUAACUCCGAAACUGCAUUCGAUACUGCCGUGCUUGAGGACUGGAGAGGAGACUGGAAUUUACGGUGUAGCGGUGAAAUGCGUAGAUAUCGUAAGGAAGACCAGUGGCGAAGGCGGGUCUCUGGACAGUUCCUGACGCUGAGGCACGAAGGCCAGGGGAGCAAACGGG
rnacentral:rRNA from 1 species